CACACUGGAAGAGUGGCAGACGCAAUUGAUGGGCUACAUGGAAUUGGCCGAGAUGACUGCCAGGAUCCGAGAUUUGGGAGAAGAAGCAAUGGAGGAGGAUUGGAAAAAAUUUAAAGAUUAUUUACAAAAAUUUUAUAAGUUAUAUGAAUGUUAAGAAUUCGCAUGAUUAGGGAAAUUCAGCUCCAGCAAUAAGAUUAAGGUAUGGGAAACUAAGCUAUAUUAAUGAAAGGACUAAUGUUUAAAAGAACAUUAUAUAUGUUAUUAGUGUAAAUUGACAAUAAGCAUUUUAAACGUAAACCAUAAGUAUUUGAAAGAACAAAAGAAUGCACAAAAUAAGGUUAUAAUUUGCUGAAAAAUUUUAUUGUAAAGAACGCAAGGUGAGGGAGACGUGGGGAAGUCCGGUUGGUUAUGGAAAAAUGCUUUGGAAAGAUGAUUUUUUUCUUUUUCUUUUUCUUUUCUGUUAUUUCUUUGUAUAUCCGACUUUGUAUUUCUAUGUGGAAAAAAUGCAAUAAAAAUAUUUAAAAAAAAAAAAAAA